UACGUAGGGGGCAAGCGUUGUCCGGAUUUAUUGGGCGUAAAGAGCGUGUAGGCGGCUAGAUAGGUCCGUUGUGAAAACUCGAGGCUCAACCUCGAGACGUCGAUGGAAACCAUCUGGCUAGAGUCCGGAAGAGGAGAGUGGAAUUCCUGAGUGUAGCGGUGAAAUUCGUAGAUAUUGGGAAGAACACCGGUGGCGAAGGCGGCGACCUGGUCCAUUACUGACGCUGAGGCGCGACAGCGUGGGGGAGCAAACAGG
rnacentral:rRNA from 1 species